rnacentral:sRNA from 1 species
UGGCGGAGGCUCUGGUUCGCCGUUGGCUCAUAUGAGUA